GCGUCCAGUGGCCCCUCAAGAGCACCCAGAGGCCCUUAAACAGUCCCCAGAGGCCCCUCAAGAUCUUGUCCCCUGGACCUUGGAMGACUUUUGGGCCUACCAAAGCAAGGUUUCUCAAACAACUGUGGGGUGUUUGUUUUGAUGUACACUAGUAGAUAUCAGAUUUUUUGGGAUGCCCAUCCGAUUUUAUUUCUCAAAGGAAAACAUGCAGCAAAUUCGGCGCUGGUGGUGCCUAGUUCUCCUGCAGAACUUUCCAAUGCCGUCUGAGGAGAGGUUGAAAGAUCAAAAAAGGCGGCGAAAACAAAGCGCACUACAGGAUGAUGUUGGAGGCGAGCCCCACCCCCAAGAAAUCACAGCAUGUUACAUCAGCAUCCAACUCUGCAGGACCAGACGAUACUGAAAACAAAAUGCACUGGGAGCUGUGAACUGGUGUAAUUGGGAUGGACGGGGAAGACCGCUUAAAGAACUACAGUUGUAUGAUGGCUUGGAUGAAGAGGAAAAUAUUCUCCUUAAGGAACCAUUCAUGUUCCAGUUACAGAGAUUAUGAGAUGUUCUAUGUGGAGGCAGUUGACAACAAGAAAAUGACUGUCUUUGCCUCUUGAGCAGGAGUGAAGCCAUUUUUUGAGGAGUGGUCAAACCUUGUUUUUGUCUGCUGUGUUAAUUGUUUCAAUUGUUAAUUGUGUUGUUUCGUAAAGAUGACGUAGAAGUCA